rnacentral:rRNA from 1 species
GACGAACGCUGGCGGCGUGCUUAACACAUGCAAGUCGAACGGAAAGGCCUGCUUUCCCUUGUGGAUUGCGGGUACUCGAGUGGCGAACGGGUGAGUAACACGUGAGUGAUCUGCCCCCAACUUGGGUAUAAGCCUGGGAAACUGGGUCUAAUUCCCGAUAGGACUGCAGGGUGGUGCCUGUGGUGGAAAACGAUUUUCUAGUGGUUGGGGAUGAGCUCGCGGCCUAUCAGCUUGUUGGUGGGGUAAUGGCCUACCAAGGCGGCGACGGGUAGCCGGCCUGAGAGGGUGGACGGCCACAUUGGGACUGAGAUACGGCCCAGAAUCCUACGGGAGGCAGCAGUGGGGAAUAUGGCACAAUGGGCGGAAGCCUGAUGCAGCGACGCCGCGUGGGGGAUGACGGCCUUCGGGUUGUAAACUCCUUUCGACCGCGAGGAAGCCACCUGGUUGGAAGGGUGGUGACGGUAGUGGUAGAAGAAGCACCGGCUAACUACGUG